GCGGCCGUGGUCUAGCCUGGACCAGGAUGGGGGCCCUCCAAGCCCCAGACCCGGGUUCAAAUCCCGGCGGCCGCACCA
rnacentral:tRNA from 1 species